AAAAUACAGGGUAAAUUAAUGAGAGGGGGUGGAAAAUCCGUAAACGUUUUAGUGCGGCUCUGUUGGAUUCUGCUGUAACAGUCGUGUUGCUCAUCGCUGGUUACUCUGACUUUUCAAGGUGCAAAAUUGUGGAACGACAAAAAAAAAAAGAUUUCUUUAGAUUGACCAAGAUGUCUGGGAAACUCUUCUUGUUGCUAACUGUUUUGUUGGUCGCUGCGUCUUCGUACGUUUCUAGCAAAGCAAGUCCUCCAAGAUUCAAGUUUCCUCUCCCCCCACCACCACCCCCAGGCUGUAUUCRCCGCGGCUCAUUCUACGAAGUGGGAGAGACAUUUGCAGACAAGUGGUGUAGGGAAUCAUGUGUGUGUAAAGACAUGGGGGUCACCGUCUGUAGACCCAUUUGUCCCAUGGAAUGGGUGGAAUGUGCAGACGGCUUACGGGCUGAGAUCUACCAGGAACCCGUCUUGGGUGGGAUGUGUUCUUGCCCUCGACAUGUGUGUGUCGAGGAUAAGUAAGAGAUUUUUCCCACAACAGCACCGGGUGAUGUUCUUGUUUGAUGUGUAAUAAAGCCUUAAACCCUUAAA